rnacentral:rRNA from 1 species
AAUCAACCGAGAUUCCCCCAGUAGCGGCGAGCGAACGGGGAGCAGCCCAGAGUCUGAAUCAGCUUGUGUGUUAGUGGAAGCGUCUGGAAAGUCGCACGGUACAGGGUGAAAGUCCCGUACACGAAAAUGCACAGGCUGUGAACUCGAAGAGUAGGGCGGGACACGUGGUAUCCUGUCUGAAUAUGGGGGGACCAUCCUCCAAGGCUAAAUACUCCUGACUGACCGAUAGUGAACCAGUACCGUGAGGGAAAGGCGA